CACUGGCUGGAGGAUGAUAAGCA
rnacentral:piRNA from 1 species